UUUCAAUUAAGCAUCCAUUGUCCUCUGGCUUUCAGAUUUCAAUGCUGUCAUUGUUUAUUGUUAGAAUGACAUUGUAGGGUAGGUGUGAGAGGCUGCACCUGGCUAUUUUCAACAUAAAACAGAAUAUUUGGGCUUGAUAUG